AUGUCUCAGUACAAGCCGAAUUAAGGUGAAACCGCGAAAGGCUCAUUAANUNAGUUAUGGUUCCUUAGAUCGUACCCACAUUUACUUGGAUAACUGUGGUAAUUCUAGAGCUAAUACAUGCAAACAGAGCUCCGACCGGAGACGGAAGGAGCGCUUUUAUUAGAUCAAAACCAAUCGGUGGCGGGCUUGCUCGUCAUCGUAUAACUUGGUGACUCUGAAUAACUUUAUGCUGAUCGCAUGGUCUAGCACCGGCGACGCAUCUUUCAAAUGUCUGCCUUAUCAACUGUCGAUGGUAGGUUCUGCGCCUACCAUGGUCGUAACGGGUAACGGGGAAUCAGGGUUCGAUUCCGGAGAGGGAGCCUGAGAAACGGCUACCACAUCCAAGGAAGGCAGCAGGCGCGCAAAUUACCCACUCCCGGCACGGGGAGGUAGUGACGAAAAAUAACGAUACGGGACUCAUCCGAGGCCCCGUAAUCGGAAUGAGUACACUCUAAACCCUUUAACGAGGAUCAAUUGGAGGGCAAGUCUGGUGCCAGCAGCCGCGGUAAUUCCAGCUCCAAUAGCGUAUAUUAAAGUUGUUGCGGUUAAAAAGCUCGUAGUCGAAUUUGUGUCCCGAGCCGUCGGUUCAUCGUCCGCGGUGUCAACUGACGUGUCGCGGGACGUCCUGCCGGUGGGCUUAGCUCGCAAGAGCGACGCCCAACCAAUUUCUCGCCGCGGUGCUCUUCACUGAGUGUCGAGGUGGGCCGGCACGUUUACUUUGAACAAAUUAGAGUGCUUAAAGCAGGCUAAAAUUUCGCCUGAAUACUUUGUGCAUGGAAUAAUGGAAUAGGACCUCGGUUCUAUUUUGUUGGUUUUCGGAACCCCGAGGUAAUGAUUAAUAGGAACGGAUGGGGGCAUUCGUAUUGCGA
rnacentral:rRNA from 1 species